rnacentral:lncRNA from 1 species
GCAUUUACAUAAUUUUUUAAAGUAAAUAUUGUUGGUUUAAGAUGUUUAUAGUUAUAUGAUUUCUUUAUAAGCUGAAACAUCUGUGCCUGAGCCAUCACCAUACUGCAUUCAGAAGUAAUCAAAACUAGUUCCAGUGCAUUGAAGAAAGGAUUUCUGAAUCAAUGGAAAUUAAGAAUGGCUGCUAUGGUUUUGUCAUUUCUGAGAUUGUGCUGAGAUCAAUGAACCAUGCACUGUUCAAG